rnacentral:lncRNA from 1 species
AUCACCAGCAACUGUACUCCCAAUUCCGUAAAUUUCCUGAAGCUCAUACCUCACUCUGUUCACCCACAAGAUCUGCUUAAUUACCUGUACAUGGAAGCCACCUUCCUCUUUCUUUUCAAACACUGCCAUAGUAAUUUGAGAAUUCCCGGUUGGAUUUGCUUCUGCUUCGCUGGAAUCUGCCGGGCGUGCCUCAGCCCUCACAAUUAUAGGAUAAAUUUCAGCAUUCACCUUAGUUAACGCUAUCUCAUCAAACAUUGACAAGUCAAUCCCUGUUCCACAAGGUUGUCUAAACUUCUGGCCAAGACCUUGUUGGAAGGUUAUGGUGACUGGUUUAAGCAGUUCUUCUUUGGUUGCAAUUACAGUACAGUCUACAUCUUCUUUACCGAAAAAUGCGACAGUAAUA